rnacentral:misc_RNA from 1 species
AAUCAUCUUCAACCAUGCGAACCUAUUCAUGCAACAAACUGCACUCAGAAGAACAAUUUAGAUAGGCUCGUCUGCGCAUUGCACGGUUCAGUCCGUAAAUAAAUAAAGAAACUUGGAGGGAUCUACAUGUUUGAUGUCCCACUGUGAGGCUGUGAGCUUUAUCACAGUUCAUCAAAUAGCAUGUCCCAGGAAGUCGAGGGAAAGAAUUGUAAAGGCAGAUUUUAUUAGAGUAUGAAUACUUAUGUGCCGAUUUCUUGAUUCUUUGCGCUUAUCAAACAUCAGGUUCAUAACACGGAAAAGCUGCA